rnacentral:rRNA from 1 species
GAGAGUUUGAUUCUGGCUCAGGAUGAACGCUGGCGGCGUGGAUAAGGCAUGCAAGUCAAGGGGGUUUUGGGAGCAAUUUCAAAACAACCGGCGAACGAGUUAGUAACACCUUGGUACAUAACCUAAAGUCGGGCACAACCCCGCGAAAGCGGAGCUAAUUCCCGAUGUUGAAGCAAUUCCAAAGGAGCAAUCCGCUUUGGGAGUGGCCUAGGUCCUAUCAGCUUGUUGGCGGGGUAAAAGCCCACCAAGGCUAUGACGGGUAGGGGGCGUGAGAGCGCGUUCCUCAACGACGACACUGAGAUACGGGUCGUACACCUACGGGUGGCAGCAGUCAAGAACAUUCGACAAUGGGCGAAAGCCUGAUCGAGCGACGCCGCGUGCAGGAAGAAGUCCUUCGGGAUGUAAACUGCUUUUGCGUAGGAAAAAUUUUGAUUGUACUACAAGAAUAAGGGGUUGCUAACCUCGUGCCAGCAGCAGCGGUAAUACGAGGACCCCGAGCGUUAUCCGGAAUUACUGGGCAUAAAGAGCGAGUAGCCGGUUUUGUUAGUCUGAUGUUAAAUUCCGAGGCUUAACUUCGGAGCCGCAUCGGAAACGGCAAGAGUCCAGCUCAAAGUUAUUUUCUAAGACGAAAUUGAAAUAUUUGAGACGAAAUAAAGAAAAAAUUUUAAGGCAUAGCCUUGGGCGCUAUACUGAAAAAUUUUUCCAAAGUUGCAAUCCAAAUAUUUUAAUUGCAGUCAGAAAGAUAAUUUCGAGUUGGACUCCUUGAACUAGAGCAGGUAAGAGGUAAGCGGAACGUGCGGUGUAGGGGUGAAAUCCAUUGAUAUCGCACGGAACACCAAAAGCGAAGGCAGCUUACUGGUGCUUUGCUGACGGUCAAUCGCGAAAGCGUGGGCAUAAAAAAGGAUUAG